CAGGAGCUGGCCGCGGGUUCGUGGCCGACAGAUGGCGCCUGCGCGUUCCAUUCGCCUCCAAGUCGCCGAAGAGCGAACACCCCAAACAAUCCCGAAGCGCCACAAAAAAAAGAAAGAAAGAAAAAAAAGAAAGAAAAAGAAAGAAAGAAAAACAAAAAACAAAACCCCGCCGGAUCCGAUGGCCACUUUCAACCUCCUCCCCGAUCCCCGGCUCUAGAACCGCGGGGAGCUUCUCUUCCUGAGUAGAACACAAGGGUGUCAAGAAGAGGAAGGGGAAAAAAAACAAUCUUGUAGCAGCCCAGGGUGAAGAAGGCCCCCGGCCUGAACCAGAAGGAAGGAGCCGGGAGGCCAGCAGUCUCCUCGCUGCCUCCGUAGACGCGGAGGGGGGCAGGAAUUGUCUUUCUUAGAGGAACCACACUGUCAUUUUACUCACAUAAAUAUAUGAAUAUAUUUCUGACAUUGGUGUGUUCCAGAAGAUGAUAAAGAAAUGAUAGCAGCUCCAGAAAUACCAACUGAUUUUAAUCUACUGCAGGAGUCAGAAACACAUUUUUCUUCUGACACAGAUUUUGAAGACAUUGAAGGAAAAAAUCAGAAGCAAGGCAAAGGCAAAGUAUGUA